UAAGCAGAGAAGGAACUUCUAAGG
rnacentral:piRNA from 1 species